UACGUAGGGGGCAAGCGUUAUCCGGAUUUACUGGGUGUAAAGGGGGCGCAGACGGCGAUGCAAGCCAGGAGUGAAAGCCCGGGGCCCAACCCCGGGACUGCUCUUGGAACUGCGCGGCUGGAGUGCAGGAGGGGCAGGCGGAAUUCCUGGUGUAGCGGUGAAAUGCGUAGAUAUCAGGAGGAACACCGGUGGCGAAGGCGGCCUGCUGGACUGCAACUGACGUUGAGGCCCGAAAGCGUGGGGAGCAAACAGG
rnacentral:rRNA from 1 species